CUUGAAGCAGACGGUGGCGUUUCACUGUGCAAGGAAGGAGGCGAGGUAAGUUAGAUGUCCUCGUCUGCAACUGUAAGGCACAUGAUUCCGCUUCUUAAACUCUGCCCUCUCCUUUUCUGUCAAAAGCACACAAAUUUUGAAUAAAGUCACCAUGAAAGCUGGCUUCAUCUUCUUUCCAAUUAGAGAUGUAUAUAUAUGUGUGGAGGCAAGCAUUUUGGAUUGUGAGUGAGUAAUGGUGACAACUUUUGGCACGCAUAACGAAGAAGCUUCUCCUUUCUUCUGGGUGGUCUUUCUGAAUUGGUGAACUAGUUGAAGAAGAAUCUGAUCCUAAAGGUAAAGCAAAUUUUGGUAAGAUGCUGUUUUUCUUUUUUUCUGAGAUUUGAAUGAUAUGAAUGGAAUUGCAGAAGCUUCAUAUACACCCUAGAAUAUUAGCUGAGAAUAGAAAAUUGUAGCCCUGAUACUUGGAUUAGGUGCCUUCUCUUUUUAUUUUUCUAUUCAGCAUCCAAUCAAAGUUUG